rnacentral:lncRNA from 1 species
CAGACUUUCAGAGCAUUAUAUUUCCUGUAAAUUCAAUAGUAUGUUCUGAGAGAACAUUACAAUGGUGAAUGUGGGUAUGGUGUCUAGCAUUUAAGAAUAUGUGAACCAAACACUCACCUCCAUCUACUCUUCCUCUCCCUGCAGAUAUUGCAUCACCUCGGGGAAGAUUCAUUGCAGGGAUCCUGGGAAUAUUGUGCGUUGUGUUGAUGGCCUCUGUAAUAACCACGGUAGUCAUAAUUAUUACUCCAUCUUCCAAAAUACAGGAACAGAAAAAUUAUUCCCAGAUGAACAGAUCCCAGAAAGGUAAGUAAUGAUUUUAAAAUUUCUCAUAUAUUUGUAUAUGUUACACUUGAUCUCUGUCACAAGACACACAGAAAUGAAUUUUUUUAAAUUAUAAAAUUGAACAAUGAAUUUUCACAAAUAAAGAUUAUUUAAGGACAUUCUUUGUUGUUCAACACUAAGGAUUAUUCAUUUAAAAUUGCUAUAGCCAAUUUGUUAUAAUAUUCUGUUGCUAUAAUAUGAUAAGCAAAUAUUUUCCUAUUCUAAUGAAAUGGUAUUGCUCAGUGAUUUUCAGCACACUUAUAUAUGGUAGAAUUUUUAAUUGUUU